AAAAGGCGCCGUGUUUUACAUUCUCUCUCCUCCUCCAAAUAUCAGUUCACGAGCCUUUCUCCAAAUCUCAGCUCCUGCAAAAGAUUGAAGCCCAGAGUUCCAAAUCUGCCUAAGAUCCAAACAUUGAAGCCCAGUUCAACGAAUCUUCACAAAACUUCUCCAAAUCUGAAGAGCAACGAAGUGGAAACAGAAAUCGAAGCUUUGGAGAGCCCUCAGUUCGUGACCAUUGAUCCCCUCAGUUCGUGACCCUUGAAAAUCGGAACCUUCAGCCCUCAGUUCGAUCAGCGUAAACAUUUCUCCUUCUAACUUAAAAACGUUGUUCUCUAUUUAUUCANNNN
rnacentral:lncRNA from 1 species